UGUAGGUAGAAUAUGUUUUAACUCCACAAUGAAAAAUAACAGAAAUGUUCGCUCUCUUUAUCUUAAUGACUAUGUUUCCACUCCUCAUGUUGUCAUAAAAUGGAAUAGAUUAGUGAAAAAUAUUUUGUGGAAGAAGGUAUGGACUCUUCCUAAUAAGUAUUUAUUGAUGAAUAAGGUCAAGAUGAUUUCUUAAGAUUCUUCACCAGUAUUAUCCUGUUAAAACCUUCAUUGUGUCAAAAUUCAAACUAAAUAUAGAUACAAACUGCACAUUCUGUAAUUCACAACCAGAAACUCUCAUACACAGGCAUGAAAACGGGUCAGGGGUGAAAAAGGUGAGAAGGGUGCUUGAGGGGCUAUGUGGCCUCUAAUGGCGCUUUUCCAUCGCAUAGUACCCCACGGUUUGGUUUAGUUUGGGUCGGGUCAGCUUACUUUUGGGAGCUUUUCCAUUGGGAUCACUUCGUAGUACCCGAUACUUUUUUUCGUACCACCUCGGUUGGGGUUCCAAGCGACCCGAGCUGAUACCAAACGUGACGCGUAAACACUGUAGUUCACUGAUUGGUCUGAGAGAAUCGUCAUCGGCGCCGUCAUCCUAUUAUGUAAAAUAUUAGCUUUAGCUUGCUGCUAGCUUGCGCUGUCUCGAGCAAACAUGUUGUCAUCUGUGCUCUGUUUUAAGUUUCCAAACACCCUUUUAGCGAUUAAAAACAUCCACAGGUUGUGAAUCAGGAACACAUAAAGGUUUUUUCCAGACUUGCAGUUUGUGGCGGCACAUUCGCGACGUGCACGUCAGUAUUAUUCAUGCUUUAAUGCAACUUCAUUGAGGCUCAGCCUGAGCGCCGUCGACAGACGCCACGGGUGUUUGAACAGAAACUGUUAUGUGAGACAGAGUUAGUUAUAAACGCGAUGUGCAAAGUAAACAUCUAUUUGUGGUGGCCAAUUUUAAUUUUGUGGCGGCACAUUCGCGACGUGCACGUCAGUAUUAUUUAUGCUUUAAUGCAACUUCAUUGAGGCUCAGCGGAGCCGUCGACUGACGCCACCGGUGUCUGAACAGAAACUGUCAUGUGAGACAGAGUUAGUUAUAAACGCGAUGUGCAAAGUAAACAUCUAUUUGUGGUGGCCAAUUUUAAUUUUGUGGCGGACUGAUAAAUAAAUAAAUGUAUGGGAAUGUACAAGGACGCUCUCUCUUGUAUGAUGUCACAGCCGUAUGCAGCGCAAAUAUAACGACACGCCUAUUAUUCCUCCCACUGCGAAGUGAUACUAAACUCAAUGGAAAAGCUAACCACGCCAAAGUGAGGUGAGCUGACCCGACCCAAACUAAACUAAACCGUGGGGUACUAUGCAAUGGAAAAGCGCCAUAAUGGGGCCGCGAGGUGGGAGGACCCCCCCAGAAUAAAUAUUAUGGCCUCAUUAGGGAACAUGCUGUAACUUAACUUAUUUAUUCUUCAGGCAUGUGAUUGGCCAAGGACAAAAAAGAAGAAAGGAACUCAACAUCCCUCCACGUGCGCAGAAACAAAAUGCACACCAUUACAUACGCAAAAAAUACAUUAUGACCAUUAUUUCAAUUAUUUAAUUCUGACGAACAAUUUAGAUUUCAAAUUUAAAAUGUAAACAUUUGACUAGUAACAGAAACUAUUAGGGCUGUCACUUUUCGUUCGAAAAUCGAUUGCACAAUCGAUCGGACCAACCAAAAAGAGUUUCGAAAACGAAAAUAGGCAAUCGAUUUUAACCAAAUAUGUACACUAUUAAUUUUAAAAGAUUAAAACAGUUAAAAUUAUAGAUGUAACAAAACUCACAAACAAACAGAAAAAGAAAAUACAGAAUUACGAAAGUGCAGUAGGUGUGCGAAAGUUAGACAGAAAAUACCCAGCAAUUUUACGCACCUACACUGUUAACGAUUUCUGUAAAUUACACUGUAUUUUACUAUAAUAUGAACUGUAUUUUACCGUAGGGCAUGUUAUACAGUAUGUUGCUGUAUUUUGAUGUUGCAUUGUGGGAAAUGUAAUCUUUGUGCCAGUAAAAUACUGUAUUUUGUAUUUACUGUAAAAUUUACAGUUAAUUAAAAAUACUGUAUUUUAAUGGCAGGUGGCGCUAAUUUGUUUUUUUUGGGGGGGGAUUAACUCUCUGAUUAAGGUUUGGUGUCGUUGCAUAGUUAAGCCUAAAGGGGACUUUGAGUUAAUGUUGAGUGUCAAGCCUUACAAUCCAAUAUAGAAAGCUAUCUUAUACAAAUAAUGUAAUAUUAUUGUAUUUAUAUAUUGAUUUUAAAUGUAAAGUAAAAUUCAGAACUUAAAGUCCUAAAAACAAUCAAACAACUAAAUUAGUGCAAGUAGAGCUGAUUUAUUUACCAAAACACAAUAUAAUCAUCUUCAUUAAAGUAUUUUGUAUAUUCAAAUUAAUUUACAAAUGUAAGUGUUUAAAAAUUAGAGAUAGGUUUUGCCGGUUGUUGAUGAGUGAUGAAUACCAGCUGUGAAUUUUCUCAACGCGUGUAAGCAGCCACGACACAGGAAACCGAAACAGUGUUCCAAUAUAAAGUGAGGGUCCUUGACAGUGGCCGAACCCGCAUAAUACACGAUAUAAUGAUUCCCUACCUCGGGAGCUAUAGGGAACGAAUUGAGACACAGCCCUGGAUGUAAUCACGUCUGUGCUGAUCACGUGCCUGUACACAAACCCGCAGCUCACUUGCAAAAGAUUAUCCUGUUAUUUAUUACACGUAUAGUAAACGUUUUUAAUGUUAUCAUGAAUCAAUGUUAUAGUUUUGUAUGUCAUAUUAUUUUUUGAGAAGAGUCAUGACUCAACGCGGACCUUACACACUGUUAAUUUGUGUGUGCGUAUGGCCAAGGUACAGUGCACUCUUUUGCACUCUAUGACCAGCCAUCAGUAAAUCGAAACAGUAAAAAAAUUUGCGCGAAACCCUGACACUUUACAGAAAGGCACGGAUAUCCCCGCCCGAAGAAAAAGAGAGCACAGGACAAUGGUUGCAAGUUAAACAGCUGGUAAGUAAAAUGAGUAAUCCUGUGAUUUCUUAACAUAUUUAAUUUUUUAUUUGGUUAAUUAAUUUGAAACACUUAACGCAUGUUAACGGUAAUUUACCUCACACGUUAGGACUGUUGUGACUAAACAGAUAGGAGAGAGCUUUGUGGUGAAAACUCUUUUUAAGACUCAACAAAACUUUCGGUGCAAGUUAUCAUAUUUAUUUCUUUUCCUUUUUUGAAAAUUUCACCACCUGCAAAGGUAAGUAAUCUUGUGAUUUCUUACAAUAUUUAAUAUUUUUGGUUUAGUUCAUUAAUUUGAAACACUUUUUUUAAACACUUAACAACACGCAGUUGACGGUAAUUUACCUCACACGACUGUUGUGAACAAGAUAGUUAGAACUUUGAGGUAGAAACUCGUUUAACACUGAACAAAACACAACUUUCUGUGCAAAUAAUCAUAUUUAAUUAUUUUCUUCCCCUUUUUAGAACAUUUCACCAUCGACAUAUUAACAUAAACGGUUCUCUUUUUCGUGUUUGACUGCGUUUGGUACAGGUGAGUGUUUAUCUGAAAUGCUAGCCGACAAACUGAGCUUUUGUGUUUAACGCUAUUUUGAAGUCAGUCUCUCAGUUUCUAACAUUAUGUAAGGAAUAAUUGACGAUGGGUCGUUGAAUUAAAUUGAUAUAACUGCCAGUAAGAAAAAGGGUGUGUGUGUGUGUGUGUGUGUGUGUGUGUGUGUGUGUGUGUGCGUGCGUGCGUGCGUGUGUGUGCAGGUCACAACAACAACAGCAGAUGCAGAGACCACGCUUUCCCUUGCUUCCACUUCACGGCUGAUCAUGCUUGAGGAUCCAGAUCUACAAAACAAAAAAUGGAUGCUGCCGAUUGAAGGCUAAGUCCGCUUUCCUGCGAUUGACCUACCAUUUCUUCAGCAUUUGCUGUUCACUUUGGUUGCUACUACGUGCUCAACAUCGAGUACCAAGUGGAAGCAGCCACUACUUUGGAGUUUAUUUAGAGAUUUAUUGUGAGGAUCAGCCCCGACAACAGCAAGUGCUCCUCUAAGUUCCAGGUGAGCAAAAGAAGUGGGAAGAUGAUGCAAAGGAAGAACUCUGGCCUGAACCAUCAUGUAUAUAUCCACCUUUAUUAAGGACUUUAUGAAUUAAGCAAAACUAUGAAACUACUAAAGCAAAUACAUUCUACUCAACUCACCAGAGGUUUGUGAAGUUCUUUUUUUAUCUUAAAGGUUUCUUUUAGUUAAUUUGUCCUUGCACUGAUUUAUAAUAUUGUAAUAUGAAACUCCAGUGUAUACAUGUUACUACUGUUGCUUCUAAAAGCAAAAUAAGUCUAUGCAGGAGAGGUUUUGUUACGUUUUUUUAAAUUAUUCUUAUAGACGGUUUCAUCGGACGCACAUGAUACACGUCUGGAUCCAAACCUUACUUCCGGUUUCACUUUUUUAAUGGUCUGACUAGUUGCUAAACUGAUCUCUUGAACAAAAGCCUCGUCGAAAAUAACAAAUGUUUUGGUUUCCGAGCUAAUCUAUGUGUUGUUUUUUUGCUUGUUAUAUAAAUAAAAUGCGUUUAAAGAACUUUGUUGUUUUUUAUUCUUAGCGGAGUUUAUCGGAAGUUCAUGCGGACCGCGAAAGCCGCUUGUUUAUGUUGUUACUGCUGAAACCGUCUAUAGUUAUAACUGAAUUUGUACUAGUAUUAUUUGAUAAUACUGUGAAAUGAAACGGUGAGUAAAUGUUACAUUGGCUUUGAAAAAGCUGUUGCUGCAAGAAAUUACAAUUUACUCAGAAUAAUAUUUUGAAUGUAUAAGUUUUUGACAUUGCUUAUGACUGCAUUUGAAUGUAUUGUUCAUAAAUUGAUGCUGUGAUGUGUGUGUAAAUGUUUUGUGUGUUACAGGAUAAAAGAUUUGCUAUAAGCAAAUCUAUUUUACUCAGGAAAGUAUUUUGUAUUUGAACAUUGUUAUUAUGACCGAGUUAGUUCAUGACUUGAUUUAAAAUUCUGUAAUAUGAUAUCUAUGAGUAAAUGUUAUUGCAGGUUUAAGAAAAACAGUUUGUGAUGCAAGCUGAAAGUUCAAUGUGCAAAAAUAUGAAAAUCUGAUAUCAUGUAUUUGAAAAACUAAAAGAAAUUUUAAAAACAUGUUGUAAUUGCUUAUUUUUGUUAUUUACUUAGAGCUGUUUUAACACCUCCAUUUAAAUUUUGUGCAGUUUUGUAGAAAAUAGAAAUGGGAAAAUGAAUCACAGGAAAUUUUACGGUAAAACACACAUUGUAAUAUAUACAUUGUAGUAUAAAAUUAUUGUAUAUUUUACAGUAGAAAAUAUAAAAUACUGUAAAUACAGUUACAGC